UAAGCCACUUCCUCAUACUAGCCGAGCAC
rnacentral:piRNA from 1 species